UACGGAGGGUGCGAGCGUUAAUCGGAAUUACUGGGCGUAAAGAGCUCGUAGGCGGUCCGCUAAGUCUGAUGUGAAAUCUCAGGGCUCAACCCUGAAAUCGCAUCCGAUACUGGCGGACUUGAGGCAGGUAGAGGAAGGUGGAAUUCCUGGUGUAGCGGUGAAAUGCGCAGAUAUCAGGAGGAACACCGGUGGCGAAGGCGGCCUUCUGGGCCUGUUCUGACGCUGAGGAGCGAAAGCGUGGGGAGCAAACAGG
rnacentral:rRNA from 1 species